UACGGGGGGGGCAAGCGUUGUUCGGAAUUACUGGGCGUAAAGGGCGCGUAGGCGGACAGUUUAGUCAGAGGUGAAAGCCCAGGGCUCAACCUUGGAAUUGCCUUUGAUACUGGCUGUCUUGAGUUCGGGAGAGGUGAGUGGAAUGCCGAGUGUAGAGGUGAAAUUCGUAGAUAUCGGGAGGAAUACCAGUGGCGAAGGCGGCGACCUGGGCCAAUACUGACGCUGAGGUGCGAAAGCGUGGGGAGCAAACAGG
rnacentral:rRNA from 1 species